CCCAAAGUCUCGGCUAAGUGGUAAGCGAUGUGAGAAGGCAUAGACAGCCAGGAGGUUGGCUUAGAAGCAGCCAUCCUUUAAAGAAAGCGUAAUAGCUCACUGGUCUAGUCGGCUCGCGCGGAAGAUAUAACGGGGCUCAAGCCGAGCACCGAAGCUAUGGGUGUGUAGCAAUACACGCGGUAGGGGAGCGUUCUGUAGGCCUGCGAAGGUGUGCUGCGAGGCAUGCUGGAGGUAUCAGAAGUGCGAAUGCUGACAUGAGUAACGUUAAAGCGGGUGAAAAACCCGCUCGCCGAAAACCCAAGGUUUCCUGAGCUACGUUAAUCGGCUCAGGGUGAGUCGGAUCCUAAGGUGAGGCCGAAAGGCGUAAUCGAUGGACAUCAGGUUAAUAUUCCUGAACCGACAAUUACUGCGAUGGGGUGACGGAGAAGGCUAAAGCAGCGGCAGAAGUGCCGUCCAAGCAUGUAGGCGGAUCUUCCUGGCAAAUCCGGAAGGUCAUUCAACGCCAAGGUGUGAGUGCGAGUCGAACCGCAAGGUAAGACGAAGUGUUUGAUGCCCCGCUUCCAGGAAAAGCCUCUAAGCUUCAGGUAAUUGUUGUCCGUACCGUAAACCGACACUGGUGGGUGAGCAGAAAAUCUGCUUAGGCGCUUGAGAGAACUCUGGUUAAGGAACUCUGCAAAUUGAUACCGUAACUUCGGAAGAAGGUAUGCCUUUUUUGGUCACUGGACUUGCUCCAGGAAGCUGAGAGAGGCCGCAGGUAAUCGAGGGCUGCGACUGUUUACCAAAAACACAGGACUCUGCGAACACGUAAGUGGAUGUAUAGGGUCUGACGCCUGCCCGGUGCCGGAAGGUUAAUUGAUGGGGUCAGCCGCAAGGCGAAGCUCUUGAUCGAAGCCCCGGUAAACGGCGGCCGUAACAAUAACGGUCCUAAGGUAGCGAAAUUCCUUGUCGGGUAAGUUCCGACCUGCACGAAUGGCGUAACGCUGGCCCUACUGUCUCGACCAGAGACUCAGUGAAGUUGAAAUCGCUGUGAAGAUGCGGCGUAGCUGCGGAAAGACGGAAAGACCCCGUGAACCUUUACUACAGCUUUACGCUGAACUUUGAAUUUGUUUGUGUAGGAUAGGUGGGAGCCUAUGAAGCAGGGGCGCUAGCUCUUGUGGAGGCGACCUUGAAAUACCACCCUGAUAACUUCGGAGUUCUAACCUAGUCCCGUAAUCCGGGAUGGGAACAAUGUAUGGUGGGUAGUUUGACUGGGGCGGUCUCCUCUC
rnacentral:rRNA from 1 species